UAUAGAACGAGAAUGCUGUAGAGUUUGUUGCAAAUGUUUUGGGGAAGAUGGAAUUCAAGGGAUUCCUGGAUACCCUGGAAAUAAGGGAAGGACAGGUUUUGAUGGCUAUUCAGGCCAUCCUGGUGAAGAAGGAGGAAUUGGAAGUCGUGGUCUGAUGGGUUCUAAUGGAAUGCAAGGAGAAAUUGGAUGCAGUGGUGCUAGAGGUCCCAAGG